rnacentral:rRNA from 1 species
GACGAACGCUGGCGGCGUGCUUGACACAUGCAAGUCGAACGGAAAGGCCUGCUUUCCCUUGUGGAUUGCGGGUACUCGAGUGGCGAACGGGUGAGUAACACGUGAGUGAUCUGCCCCCAACUUGGGUAUAAGCCUGGGAAACUGGGUCUAAUUCCCGAUAGGACUGCAGGGUGGUGCCUGUGGUGGAAAACGAUUUUCUAGUGGUUGGGGAUGAGCUCGCGGCCUAUCAGCUUGUUGGUGGGGUAAUGGCCUACCAAGGCGGCGACGGGUAGCCGGCCUGGGAAGGUGGACGGCGACAUUGGGACUGAGAUACGGCCCAGACUCCUACGGGAGGCAGCAGUGGGGAAUAGUGCACAAUGGGCGGAAGCCUGAGGCAGCGACGCCGCGUGGGGGAUGACGGCCUUCGGGUUGUAAACUCCUUUCGACCGCGAGGAAGCCACCUGGUUGGAAGGGUGGUGACGGUAGUGGUAGAAGAAGCACCGGCUAACUACGUG